CAGCAAUAGUUCCUCCAGAGCAUCCUCAAUAAUUUUCCAAAGGCAGUCAUCCACCAACAUCCGAGCAUCUACUGUUACUGUUAGUUCUCCUGAUUCAAACAGCGUCUUAGUACCAGGAACACCUCUUUCAGUUCCCUUCUCUGUGAUGACGAGCAGCGCAGGAGGAAACUUCACCAUCCAAGCUACCAAUGACCAAGGUUUUAAUUCAACUUUCCCAUCCAAUUUAAUCCUGGAAACUGGAGGGAGUGCUAAUGGUACAGUGAACCUCACGGCACCUUCUAACACCCCGUCUGGUACAGUCGUCACCCUGACUGUUGAGGCCGUAGCUCCUGGAAGCACAGACACCAACUAUGUUGUGCUGCGUUUCACUGUCCUUAAAACGGUGACUGAUUUCACUUCGCCAGUUUGUCAGCUGCUUAGCCUGCAGUCUAACUGCUCUGAUAACUGUAUUUUAUCAACGUGGGAGCUCUCUG